ensembl:rRNA 5S_rRNA 5S ribosomal RNA
ACCUACAGCCAUGCCUCCCUGAAUGUGCCCGAUCUCAUCUGAUCUCAGAGGCUAAGCAGGAUCGGUCCUGGUUAGUACUUGGAUGGGAGAUCACUUAGGAAUACCAGGUGCUGUAGGUG